rnacentral:tRNA from 1 species
GGAGGCGUGGCCGAGCGGCUUAAGGCAGCGGAUUGCUAAUCCGCGGACGUGUAAAAAGCGUCGCACAGGUUCGAAUCCUGUCGCCUCCG